CCUACGGGAGGCUGCAGUGAGGAAUAUUGGUCAAUGGACGAGAGUCUGAACCAGCCAAGUAGCGUGAAGGAUGACUGCCCUAUGGGUUGUAAACUUCUUUUAUAUGGGAAUAAAACGUUCCACGUGUGGGAUUUUGUAUGUACCAUAUGAAUAAGGAUCGGCUAACUCCGUGCCAGCAGCCGCGGUAAUACGGAGGAUCCGAGCGUUAUCCGGAUUUAUUGGGUUUAAAGGGAGCGUAGGUGGAUUGUUAAGUCAGUUGUGAAAGUUUGCGGCUCAACCGUAAAAUUGCAGUUGAAACUGGCAGUCUUGAGUACAGUAGAGGUGGGCGGAAUGCGUGGUGUAGCGGUGAAAUGCUUAGAUAUCACGAAGAACCCCGAUUGCGAAGGCAGUUCACUGGACUGCAACUGACACUGAGGCUCGAAAGUGUGGGUAUCAAACAGGAUUAGAUACCCCUGUAGUC
rnacentral:rRNA from 1 species